rnacentral:lncRNA from 1 species
GAAUCCUCGAGGAAUUCGUCGGAUUGAAGUCUUGAUCGUUGGUAAAGGUCGAGUCUACAAAUAGAUGAGUUGAUAUACCUUUUCAAGUAUUUUGAUAUGUAAAGCAAGCAUUAUUUUAUUUGUGGUGAUUUAUCUUGCAUGAUUAAAUACCAUUUAUGAUGACUGUUCAGAGGCUUUGAAUACAAGUGUUUUCAAAGAAGUUUUCAAAUCUAUU